AGAGUUUGAUCCUGGCUCAGAACGUACGCUGGCGGCACGCCUAACACAUGCAAGUCGAACGAAGUAGCAAUACUUAGUGGCAGACGGGUGAGUAACAUGUGGGUAUCUACCCUUUGGCCUGGAAUAACACGAGGAAACUUGUGCUAAUACCGGAUAAGUCUUUACGGAGAAAGCUUUAUGCACCAUUGGAUGAGCCCGCACUUGAUUAGUUUGUUGGUAGGGUAAUGGCCUACCAAGACUAUGAUCAAUAGCUGAUUUGAGAGGAUGAUCAGCCACAUUGGGACUGAGACACGGCCCAAACUCCUACGGGAGGCAGCAGUGGGGAAUCUUGCACAAUGGAGGAAACUCUGAUGCAGCGAUGCCGCGUGAGUGAAGAAGGCCUUUGGGUUGUAAAGCUCUUUCGUCGGGGAAGAAAAUGACUGUACCCGAAUAAGAAGGUCCGGCUAACUUCGUGCCAGCAGCCGCGGUAAUACGAAGGGACCUAGCGUAGUUCGGAAUUACUGGGCUUAAAGAGUUCGUAGGUGGUUGAAAAAGUUGGUGGUGAAAUCCCAGAGCUUAACUCUGGAACUGCCAUCAAAACUUUUCAGCUAGAGUAUGAUAGAGGAAAGCAGAAUUUCUAGUGUAGAGGUGAAAUUCGUAGAUAUUAGAAAGAAUACCAACUGCGAAGGCAGCUUUCUGGAUCAUUACUGACACUGAGGAACGAAAGCAUGGGUAGCGAAGAGGAUUAGAUACCCUCGUAGUCCAUGCCGUAAACGAUGUGUGUUAGACGUUGGAA
rnacentral:rRNA from 1 species